AUGGGCGAAAGCCUGAUGCAGCAACGCCGCGUGCGGGAAGAAGGCCUUAGGGUUGUAAACCGCUUUCAGCAGGGAAGAAAAUGACGGUACCUGUAGAAGAAGGUGCGGCCAACUACGUGCCAGCAGCCGCGGUGACACGUAGGCACCAAGCGUUGUCCGGAUUUAUUGGGCGUAAAGAGCUCGUAGGCGGUUCGGUAAGUCGGGUGUGAAAACUCUGGGCUCAACCCAGAGCCGCCACCCGAUACUGCUGUGACUUGAGUUCGGUAGGGGAGCGGGGAAUUCCUGGUGUAGCGGUGAAAUGCGCAGAUAUCAGGAGGAACACCAGUGGCGAAGGCGCCGCUCUGGGCCGACACUGACGCUGAGGAGCGAAAGCGUGGGUAGCAAACAGGAUUAGAUACCCUGGUAGUCCACGCCGUAAACGUUGGGCACUAGGUGUGGGUCUCAACCAACGAGAUCCGCGCCGUCGCUAACGCAUUAAGUCGCCCCGCCGUGGGGAGUACGGUCGCAAGAACUA
rnacentral:rRNA from 1 species